rnacentral:rRNA from 1 species
CACGUAGGGCGCAAGCGUUGUCCGGAAUUAUUGGGCGUAAAGAGCUCGUAGGCGGUCUGUCGCGUCUGCUGUGAAAUCCCGAGGCUCAACCUCGGGCUUGCAGUGGGUACGGGCAGGCUAGAGUGCGGUAGGGGAGAAUGGAACUCCGGGUGUAGCGGUGGAAUGCGUAGAGAUCCGGAGGAAGACCGGUGGCGAAGGCGGCCUGCUGGGCAGUUACUGACACUGAGGCGCGACAGCGUGGGGAGCAAACAGG